UAUGUGAAAUUGUGAAACUUUUUCACAAAUGUCAUCGCUCUUGGUCACUAGAGGGCACUGAUCUACCUCAACUUGGUCUUCUGGUCAAAGUGACCAUUCAGCCUCCAGCGGCCCAUCAACCAUUACUGAGUCGGCAGCCAGCUCCAGUACUUUUGCUUCAUCGGGGCGAGUGGUCCGGUUUCCUAGGCGACCUCACAGCAACGGUCGACAUAAGCAUGUGGCUGUCCCAACCCACCCUAUUAAUGCCGCAGAGGCCAAUUUAGCAACCGCGCAGCAGGUGGAAGACAGAUAACACCCCACCGGGCCGAAGACCAAAGUGCUGGGGAUAUGUAAAGGGUUGGCAAGCAACCAGAUCACAUAUAUAUAUUGUAGGCUUAGAUCUGGAUUCAUUACAACCCGAGUCAACGGCAAACAAGCCUGAAAGUCAAUAACUUGUUGACUCACGACAUGAGUGCCAUCAUUCUCACUAAGUGCCCCAUGGGCAUCGAUUUGCGGAGGAAGCACACUUGCAUGAUCCAUGCCAAGAUGAUAAGAUAGAUUUUGAUUAACAUGAGGAUUUGGGGACUGCUAAGUACAUACACCAAGUUUGGACUGGUACAAGGAGUGAAAAUAGAAGCUCCCUUCUACUACAAGACUUGUCAGCCUCCUGAUGCAACUCCUAUUGAUCCACACAAGGAGUUUCAAGAUAGGCUUGACGAAUGGGAGAGCUAUGCACUCAAUUUUAGAGCCCGACAUUUUUGAUAAGUUUUAUUUAUAUUUUGAUUAUAGUUCAAUUUUUUUAAAUUUAAGUUUUUUAAUUUUAAUUGAUCUUUUGAAUUUACAGCGUAAAUCAGCUACAAAUAAAGGUAACUAGGAAAGGAAGCUGUACUUCAUCAUUCAUAUUCUCAACCCCUAUCUUACCAGGUCGAGAAACGGCAAGCGAAGGGAUAACAUUUCUCAGAAGCGAAGGCUUGAGGGGAUACGCAUGCCAAUUAUGGCAACCCCAUCACUGACGACAAUAUCUUCUAUGCAACAGAAGAAGGAUGAGUACCUCAUCAACCUCUCACAAUAACAACCGGACAAGUCAAUGGAGGAGAUAACACCUGAUCUAGAAGUGCCCUUAUAAUUGCUAAUAGACGGGGUUGGUGGACCAAAUGGCAAAGAGCUUCAUGGCCAAUGAGCGGGUCGCAUUCAAGAUCUUGGGGGUCUUCUUCUUCUUCUAGCUUUCAUCCUCCAACGGAGAUGUCUUCCAAACUGCAAUUGCAGAUGGAGCUAGCAAGGCAAUGAAAAGAAGUCGAGCUCAAAGAGAAGAAACAGCACACCAAAGAGAAGAAGCUGCUUGCGAGCGUGAAGCUGUGCGCCAAUAAACGUGACGAAUGUAUUCGAUAAUGCAUUGCUCAAAUAGCCGAAGGAAUGUCAGCUUUUGGGAUUCGCAUUCCGGAGCCCUCUAGCAAUCUUUAGGCAAUAUUCCAUUAGGCACCUCAACAGCCACCCGAUUAGUUAUAGUGAAUUAGUUUAGUUUUUUUUUUUUACACGCAAUUGCCCGAACAAUUUUAUUUUCAAUAUAAUUAA